UAAGUUGAAAGAAUUGUAGAUUUUGA
rnacentral:miRNA from 1 species